rnacentral:rRNA from 1 species
AUGUUAGGAGAGAAUAUUAACUUCCUGUGCUGGAAUGUAAGGGGCCUAAAUUGUGUCAAUCGGCGUUCCACCGUCCAUGAAACCAUUGCAGCAACAACCUGUCAUCUGGCAUGUCUACAGGAGACUAAGCUGGAGCAUAUGGAUCAGUUCAUUGCUUCUUACCUGGGUGGUAACAGACUGCGCAACUUUGCUCACCGACCGGCUACCGGCACCAGGGGUGGCAUACUGCUAUUGUGGGACGACAACGCAGUCCAAAUCUCCGACAUGGUCAACAUCGUUUACUGUCUCUCGGCCAUGGUACUCAUCCGUGCAUCCGGGAAUGUUUUCAAGAUCACC